GCAUAUCAAUAAGCGGAGGAAAAGAAACCAACAGGGAUUGCCCUAGUAACGGCGAGUGAAGCGGCAACAGCUCAAAUUUGAAAUCUGGCUUCGGCCCGAGUUGUAAUUUGCAGAGGAUGUUUAUGGUGCGGUACCUUCCGAGUUCCCUGGAACGGGACGCCACAGAGGGUGAGAGCCCCGUCUGGUUGGAUACCAAACCUGUGUUAAACUCCUUCAACGAGUCGAGUAGUUUGGGAAUGCUGCUCUAAAUGGGAGGUAAAUCUCUUCUAAAGCUAAAUACCGGCCAGAGACCGAUAGCGCACAAGUAGAGUGAUCGAAAGAUGAAAAGCACCUUGAAAAGGGGGUUAAACAGUACGUGAAAUUGUUAAAAGGGAAGCGUUUAUGACCAGACUUGUGUCGUGUGGCUCAUCCGAGGUUCUCCCCGGUGCACUCCACACGGCUCAGGCCAACAUCGGUUCUCGUUGGGGGAUAAGAACAGUAGGAACGUGGCCCUCUUCGGAGGGUGUUAUAGCCUGCUGUACGAUACCCUGAUGGGGACCGAGGACCGCGCUUCGGCUAGGAUGUUGGCGUAAUGGUCAUUAGCGACCCGUCUUGAAACACGGACCAAGGAGUCGUCCAUUAGAGCGAGCGUUUGGGUGUAAAACCCGCACGCGUAAUGAAAGUGAAAUUAGGUGAGAGCUUCGGCGCAUCAUCGACCGAUCCUGAAGUUUACGGAUGGAUUUGAGUAAGAGUUUUAACGGACGGACCCGAAAGACAGUGAACUAUGCUUGAAUAGGGUGAAGCCAGAGGAAACUCUGGUGGAGGCUCGCAGCGGUUCUGACGUGCAAAUCGAUCGUCAAAUUUGAGCAUGGGGGCGAAAGACUAAUCGAACUGUCUAGUAGCUGGUUACCGCCGAAGU
rnacentral:rRNA from 1 species